rnacentral:lncRNA from 1 species
ACCGGGGCAACCUAAGUCCUCAAGAAAGAAGAGCAGACAAGAGAGAUGGCUGCUCCCUGUCUAGAGAAAUAGCCAUGUCCCCCCAGCUCAGCAGCAAUGGGAAGGUGGUCUGGGGUGAAUAAUUUCUAAGGGGACAGAGAGGAAGCAGAUCUGGAGAGAGAAAAACUGACCAGAGUUCUCACGGCUGGAGGCUCCCUUAAUUAAUUCACCUGCCUGGUAACUGCAUAGUAGAGUCCACUUAAAGAAAUCAGAGAAGCUGCCACUUUGAAAGAUGUGUGGAGGUCCCAUGGACCCACACCCUAAGUGACAAAGGGGCACCGGAACUCUGAGAAUCAGUUCUGAGGUUGUGAACAUUGGACACAGAUAAUUAUCCAGCUGCACUUACAAUACGUUGUGGGAUUCAACAGAAAAAACCCUAGCACCACAACAACCUGGAAACCAAGUCCGUUGCUAAUAUUUCUAAAUAGCUUAAAAAAAAAAAAAGGAAUGUGAAACAGUGUCUCUUCUGCCCUCACAGAAAAACAUGUGGUCAAGAGGAAAUUGAAUCAAGUCCUUUAAUCAGCCACAGUAGUAUUCGAAUCAUUUAAUUUAGGAUCUGACAACCACAAAUUACUCUAUUUUUCAAGCCAAUUUUAGCCAACCAGGAGAACUGGCCCCAGUCAACUCAAGUUUA